rnacentral:sRNA from 1 species
GCCGGGCGCGGUGGCGCUCGCCUGUCAUCCCAGGGGCUCGGGAGGCUGAGGCAGGAGGAUCUCUAGUUCAAAGCAGCCUCAGCAACAGCGAGGCCGUAAGCAACUCAGUGAGACCCUGUCUCUA